AUGGAAAACUCAUCUAAAGGUGUUUCUAUGUCUUCUUCUUCGGUAAAAUCUCGAUCUGAAAAAUUUUGUGGGUGUGAUGGUCGUAUGGUUUCAUACCGAUGCAAGAGGGGACUAAAUAAAGGAAGGCUUUUUUGGAGAUGUCCAUUUUGGAGGAGUGACGAGACAUGUAAUUUGUUCAUAUGGGAUGAAGAUAUGGGAGAAAAAGGUGGAAAUGAAUAUGGGAGCAUUAUGAAGUCAGAGAUGGAAGGUAUGGAAGCCAUGAACUAUUUGAAGGCUAUGUAUGAAGAUUCAAAGAAGAAGAACAAGAAUUUGAAGAACCAACUGAAAUCAGAGAAAUUUUCUGGAAAUUUGUAG